GGCCUCGUGGCCCAAUGGCAAGGCGUCUGACUACGAGAGAGAUUCAGCAAUGACAUCUGUCACAGAAAUCAGGAGAUUCUGGGUUCGACCCCCAGCGAGGUCA
rnacentral:tRNA from 2 species